GGGUCGUUAGCUCAGUUGGUAGAGCGGCGGACUUUUAAUCCGUUGGUCGAGCGUUCGAAUCGCUCACGACCCACCA
rnacentral:tRNA from 1 species